rnacentral:rRNA from 1 species
AGAUUGAACGCUGGCGGCAUGCCUUACACAUGCAAGUCGAACGGCAGCACGGGAGCAAUCCUGGUGGCGAGUGGCGAACGGGUGAGUAAUACAUCGGAACGUGCCCAAUCGUGGGGGAUAACGCAGCGAAAGCUGUGCUAAUACCGCAUAAGAUCUACGGAUGAAAGCAGGGGAUCGCAAGACCUUGCGCGAAUGGAGCGGCCGAUGGCAGAUUAGGUAGUUGGUGAGGUAAAGGCUCACCAAGCCUUCGAUCUGUAGCUGGUCUGAGAGGACGACCAGCCACACUGGGACUGAGACACGGCCCAGACUCCUACGGGAGGCAGCAGUGGGGAAUUUGGACAAUGGGCGAAAGCCUGAUCCAGCCAUGCCGCGUGCAGGAUGAAGGCCUUC